CGUUAGGAAGCUAAAUAGGGUCUAGCAUUAGCCUUUUAAGCUAAAAAUUGGUGCCUCCUAAACACCCCUAACGAC
rnacentral:tRNA from 1 species